rnacentral:misc_RNA from 1 species
AACGCACAUUGCGCCCGCUGGUAUUCCAGCGGGCAUGCCUGUUCGAGCGUCAUUUCGACCACUUAAGCCUUUUUUUGUUGCUUAGCGUUGGGAGCCUACCGCGGCGGCCUCGGCCGUGCGGUCGCUCCCCAAAGUCAGUGGCGGAGCCGGGUUCGUGCUCUAGGCGUAGUAGAAUCUUCCAUCUCGCCUGCAGCCGGGACCGGUCCCCUGCCGUAAAACACCCCACUUUUUUUUAAAUGGUUGACCUCGGAUCAGGUAGGAAUACCCGCUGAACUUAA